rnacentral:rRNA from 1 species
CCUACGGGUGGCAGCAGUGAGGAAUAUUGGUCAAUGGACGCAAGCCUGAACCAGCCAUGCAGCGUGAAGGAAGACGGCCCUAUGAGUUGUAAACUGCUUUUGUAAGAGGGUAAACGCAGAUACGUGUAUCUGUCUGAAAGUAUCGUACGAAUAAGGAUCGGCUAACUCCGUGCCAGCAGCCGCGGUAAUACGGAGGAUUCAAGCGUUAUCCGGAUUUAUUGGGUUUAAAGGGUGCGUAGGUGGUCUGUUAAGUUAGUGGUGAAAUCCCGCGGCUCAACUGUGGAAUUGCCUCUGAUACUGGUCGGCUAGAGUAUAGUUGCGGUAGGCGGAAUUUAUGGUGUAGCGGUGAAAUGCUUAGAUAUCAUGCAGAACACCGAUUGCGAAGGCAGCUUACCAAGCUACUUCUGACGUUGAGGCACGAAAGUGUGGGGAGCAAACAGGAUUAGAUACCCGUGUAGUC